rnacentral:rRNA from 1 species
GGCGACGGGUGAGUAACACGUGGGCAAUCUGCCCUGCACUUCGGGAUAAGCCUGGGAAACUGGGUCUAAUACCGGAUAGGACCUUUAGACGCAUGUCUUUUGGUGGAAAGCUUUUGCGGUGUGGGAUGGGCCCGCGGCCUAUCAGCUUGUUGGUGGGGUGAUGGCCUACCAAGGCGACGACGGGUAGCCGGCCUGAGAGGGUGUCCGGCCACACUGGGACUGAGAUACGGCCCANACUCCUACGGGAGGCAGCAGUGGGGAAUAUUGCACAAUGGGCGCAAGCCUGAUGCAGCGACGCCGCGUGGGGGAUGACGGCCUUCGGGUUGUAAACCUCUUUCACCAUCGACGAAGGUCCGGGUUUUCUCGGAUUGACGGUAGGUGGAGAAGAAGCACCGGCCAACUACGUGCCAGCAGCCGCGGUAAUACGUAGGGUGCGAGCGUUGUCCGGAAUUACUGGGCGUAAAGAGCUCGUAGGUGGUUUGUCGCGUUGUUCGUGAAAUCUCACGGCUUAACUGUGAGCGUGCGGGCGAUACGGGCAGACUAGAGUACUGCAGGGGAGACUGGAAUUCCUGGUGUAGCGGUGGAAUGCGCAGAUAUCAGGAGGAACACCGGUGGCGAAGGCGGGUCUCUGGGCAGUAACUGACGCUGAGGAGCGAAAGCGUGGGGAGCGAACAGGAUUAGAUACCCUGGUAGUCCACGCCGUAAACGGUGGGUACUAGGUGUGGGUUUCCUUCCUUGGGAUCCGUGCCGUAGCUAACGCAUUAAGUACCCCGCCUGGGGAGUACGGCCGCAAGGCUAAAACUCAAAGGAAUUGACGGGGGCCCGCACAAGCGGCGGAGCAUGUGGAUUAAUUCGAUGCA